rnacentral:pre_miRNA from 2 species
GGUUUAGAGGUGGAGCUCCUUUCAUUCCAAUGAAGGGUCUAGAAAACGAGGAGAUAGGCUUGUGGUUUGCAUGACCGAGGAGCUGCAUUAAUCCCUCGCUGAGCGCUGUUUGGCUUGAAGAGAGCUCUGCAUCUUGAUCUA